rfam:Triticum aestivum genome assembly, contig: Triticum_aestivum_CS42_TGACv1_scaffold_062513_1DL
UACUUACUCCCUCCGUUCCAAAAUACUUGACUUUCAUUUGUCAAAAAUGGAUGUACUUACAUCCAUUUUUGACAAAUGAAAGUCAAGUAUUUUGGAACGGAGGGAGUAUUUG